rnacentral:misc_RNA from 1 species
UGUGUGUGUGUGUGUGUAUAUUUCGAAAAAACAAGUUUACAGGCCAAUCUUGUUAGUUCAAGUGCUUAUGAGCUGGGUAUAGGAACUCUUGGUACAGGGUUCAAGCCGUGGGGAUGUUGCCUUGAAAUUUAAAUUUUUUUUAGUGAAGGCAGAACCGGUUUACCCUCUUUGAACCAGACCAGGUUACCAAUUUUCCAACCAAUUCAAGAGGGUCAAUUCCAAUUCUCUAAAAACAAGGGUUUUCAUUAUUUAAAAAACAAAAAGGUUUUCAAUGUAAACCGAACUGGCCAUUGGUUUAGUUCCCAAUUAAACCAGUCCAGUUUUAACAACUAUGCAAACAAUAGAGACUGCUUCAUAAAAUUCACAGCACUGCAACCACAAUGAUUGCUAUUUAAAUCCAUGGAUAUAGAGUUGGAGAUGGAUCUCUCUUUUUUUUUAUUUUUUGUUUUUGGAAGAUUUGAAUUGGUUAUACUAUACAUUACAUUUCCUUUUUUGGCUUUUAGUUUUAUUCUUCUCUACAUGAUGGCUAGGGGACUGUAAAGUAAUAGGUCUGAAUCAAUCUCAAGGAAGUGGAUUGAAACAGAAUUCUCAGAGA